CUGAGGGCAGCGGGGCAGGGCAAUCGCCGCCCUGCUUCUGUCACGGCGCAGGGGCGGCCUCGGGCGAGCUUUCUUCGGAUCGUUCCGGCCCCUGUGCC
rnacentral:tRNA from 1 species